ensembl:lincRNA 4921507G05Rik RIKEN cDNA 4921507G05 gene
GCGGUGCAGCCUGCCGCCUCGGUUCGGUCGCUACGCAACCUCUCGCCGCUUUAAAUUUAAGUAUAAUUUCUUACCUAGUGAGUAGGCGACCUUGGUGGGACUGACUCUUCCCAGCUCUCCCGAGAAUGUAACGAUGUUGAACCAGACGAGAACAAUUUCCUUGAGCUUUAACUGCCUGUAACACUAGUUGGAGCCUGUUCUUGACAACACCUACAGUUGAGCUUCAAAGCAGCCUGAUAGCUACUGCUGUGUAAUUUCCCAGAAUUCACAAGCAGGACUUCGGUUUCUCUAUGGAAAAUGUUCUGCCUUCCUGUGACUGUGUGUUCCAGAGCUCUAUGUCAAAAUUUAAAAAUGUGAAGAGGAAGAUAAAAGCUAGAACUCAGUGACUGAGCUCGAUCACCAGCCGCUGCAGAGGGGAGAGGAAGGACAAGCUUAGAGUCAUGGAGCCUUAGUGAAGAAGGCCAGGAGAAUCAACUCAGGCUUCUGGAAAAAGCAAGAGACACAGAGAAAAGGGGGUUGUCACACAUUCCUGCUAUUAGUCCCAGCACUGUGGCUUGGGGCUAUGGGUGGAGGCAGGCCGAUCUCUGCGAGUUCAAGGCCAGCCUGGGUUACAUAGUUCCAGCUACAUAGACUUUGGAAAAUGCUUUUAUUCUUUGCCACUCCAGCUUUCCUGUCAGGUGACUCUUUCCACCAGAUCUUUUGAUACAGAAGCAGGGGGACACCACCACUGCCCCUGCUGCAAACUGUCUUUCUUAAAUCGUAGGCUAGCUCCCAAUGUGAUAACUUUGGGAUAGACUCACAGAAGCACAGGGGGCAUGACAUUGAAUAUUUCACUGGCCAUAAAAGAGGAGUGUGGCCUUCCAAUUGCUUCUAAUUCUCUUCUAGAAUUCCCCAGUUAUUGGUGUGGUGGGGGCAGAGGCAAAAAUGGGGUCACACACGAAAGGAGAUCUCAUCACUUCCCAGGAGUCACCAUGGAUGAUGGACGUCCAAAGUGAGGGAGACAAACCCCUGGGGCUGCCGGGAGAGGGAUCCAGCACAGGAUGGGGAAGGCUGGGAAGAUGAGCUGGGCAGCAUAGAGAACAGCCAACCCAGACUGUAGCAAGAAGCCCUUGAAGGCAUCUCCGGCUAAGAGCCAACAAACAGACAAAAACAGCACAGCUGCUCUCUGGUCUCGUGCAUUUGACUGUCCAAAAAAGGAACUCAACGAAAUCCACUCAGGCCAACGACUCUCAUGUAGAAAGCUAAACAACAGAACACAGGGCAACACAAAAAGUUCUACUAGAAGGAAACAUACGGCUGGGGGUGCGCUGAUUUGGUAGUUUAGCUUGUAUGAAGCCCAGGAUUCGAUUCCCCAGCAUGGCAUAAAAUUCAGCCUUGCCAGUGAGUGCCUAUACUCCUAACCUCAGGGAGAUGGAAACAAGAGGAGCGGUUCAUUGCCAUGCUCAGCUAUGAGGAUAGCCUGGACUAAAUGAUACUAUAGCUCAAAAACGCGAACAAAUGAAAAAUCAGAAAGUGGGCUAUUUAAAAUGCUGUGUAUAAAGACACAUCCACUCCCUUAAGAAAACUUAAUUUUCUG